rnacentral:rRNA from 1 species
GAUCCUGGCUCAGGAUGAACGCUGGCGGCGUGCUUAACACAUGCAAGUCGAACGAAGCGCUUAAGAUUGAUUCUUCGGAUGAUUUCUUUUGUGACUUAGUGGCGGACGGGUGAGUAACGCGUGGGUAACCUGCCUCACACAGGGGGGAUAACAGUUAGAAAUGACUGCUAAUACCGCAUAACCCGAUAGGAUCGCAUGAUCCAGACGGAAAAGAUUUAUCGGUGUGAGAUGGACCCGCG